UACGAAGGGUGCAAACGUUGCUCGGAAUCAUUGGGCGUAAAGCGCACGUAGGCGCCUCAUAAGUCGGAUGUGAAAUCCCACGGCUCAACCGUGGAAGUGCAUCCGAAACUGCGAGGCUCGAGUAUGGAAGAGGGUCGCAGAAUUCCCGGUGUAGAGGUGAAAUUCGUAGAUAUCGGGAGGAAUACCAGUGGCGAAGGCGGCGACCUGGGCCAAUACUGACGCUGAGGUGCGAAAGCGUGGGGAGCAAACAGG
rnacentral:rRNA from 1 species